rnacentral:rRNA from 1 species
AUGGCCUGUAGUAGAGGCGCAUGUGCUCCACUCGCGGUCGCGGCCUGCGUAUUCCUCGUCCUCUGCGCCGUUGCCACGGUCGUCUACACCAGCUCCUCUCUGUCAACAGCGCUCCUCGCAGUCUCCGGCCUACGUCCAUACAUAGCAUCACUUACUACCAACGGCAGCGGCGGCACGAAUGUCGGCGGGUCUCUCCACACCAGCCUCCACACGUGCCGCAAGCCAAAGCUGCCGCCAAAUCCGCUCCCGCCCUUCUACUGCUGCCCCCCGGCGUCCUCGUCGUCGGAGCCAAUCAACUUCACUCUCCCGGACCCCGUGGAGCCGCUCAGGGUCCGGCGGCCGGUGCACGGCGUGGGGGCGGAGUACAUGGCCAAGUACGAGCGCGCCAUCGCGCUGAUGAAGGCGCUGCCGCACACCGACCCGCGCAGCUUCUACCAGAUGGCCAACAUCCACUGCGCCUACUGCACCGGCUCCUACCGCCAGACGGGGAACCCGGAGUUGGACAUGCAGAUCCACUUCUCGUGGUUCUUCUUCCCGUUCCAUCGCGCGUACCUCUACUUCUUCGAGCGCAUCGCCGCCAAGCUGCUCGGGGAGCCCGACUUCGCACUGCCCUUCUGGAGCUGGGACGUGCCGGAGGGGAUGCGGAUGCCACCGGAGUUCGCCAACUCCUCGUCGCCGCUCUACGACCCCGUUCGGAACCCGAGGCACGCGCCACCCCGUCUCGUGGACCUGGACUUCGUCGGCGUGGAGAGCAAUCGCACAGACGAGCAGCAGAUCCAGCACAACCUUAGGACCAUGUACAAGCAGAUGAUUGGCAAUGCUGCUUUGCCGUCCCUCUUCCAUGGCCAGCCCUUCCGUGCUGGUCAGUUUGACAAGCCAGGCCCUGGGACAGUGGAGCUGUCGCCACACAACACGGUGCACACCUGGACCGGCGACAUAGCUCUCACCAAUGUGGAGAACAUGGGAACCUACUACUCGGCCGGCCGAGACCCACUCUUCUACCCACACCACAGCAACAUAGACCGCCUGUGGGAGGCAUGGCGCCAAGUCGGCGCUGCCCAUGGUUACCGUGGCCAUGUCGACUUCGUGGACCCCGACUGGCUCGACUCCUCCUUCCUCUUCUACGACGAGGAGUCUCGCCUAGUGCGGAUCACCGUCCGCGACGUGCUCGACACAGAGAAGCUCCGGUACAAGUUUGAUGGCGUUGGCAUGCCGUGGGUGGACGCACGCCCACCUACAACUCCAAACGUGAGCAAAAAUAAAGCCCUGCUCAAGUCUGUCAGAUUCCCACUGUCCCUUCACAAAGUUGUGACCGUGGAGGUAAGACGACUGCAAGUGCUCCGAAGCACGGAAGAGAAGGAGGCACGUGAGGAAGUACUGGUGAUCGAGGGCAUUGAGACAGACGGAACAGAAAUGGUCAAGUUCGACGUCUACGUGAACGCCAUGGAGCACAAGAAGGUGGAGCCUAGCGGGCGUGAACUGGCGGGGAGCUACAUGUGCUUGAGUCAUCCCCGUAUCGAUGGCACGGGGAAGGGGAUGAUUGUAGAAACAAGCAUGAGGGUGGCGUUGAACGAGCUCUUGGAAGAUUUGGAUGCAGACGGUGAUGAGACUGUGACCGUGACAUUAGUCCCCAGACAUGGGAAGGUUAAGAUCAGAAGCCUAAGAAUAGUGUACAUGGUGGAGUGA